UUAACAUUCGGACCGUCGCCGCGUCCGUCUACUGAGCAAUAUCACCUGCUCGGUGGAAAUCUUUCCUCUGUCGU
rnacentral:pre_miRNA from 1 species